rnacentral:rRNA from 1 species
GACGAACGCUGGCAGCGUGCUUAACACAUGCAAGUCGAACGGAAAGGCCCUGCUUUUGUGGGGUGCUCGAGUGGCGAACGGGUGAGUAACACGUGAGUAACCUGCCCUUGACUUUGGGAUAACUUCAGGAAACUGGGGCUAAUACCGGAUAGGAGCUCCUGCUGCAUGGUGGGGGUUGGAAAGUUUCGGCGGUUGGGGAUGGACUCGCGGCUUAUCAGCUUGUUGGUGGGGUAGUGGCUUACCAAGGCUUUGACGGGUAGCCGGCCUGAGAGGGUGACCGGCCACAUUGGUACUGCGGUACGGCCCAGACUCCUACGGGAGGCAGCAGUGGGGAAUAUUGCACAAUGGGCGGAAGCCUGAUGCAGCAACGCCGCGUGCGGGAUGACGGCCUUCGGGUUGUAAACCGCUUUCGCCUGUGACGAAGCGUGAGUGACGGUAAUGGGUAAAGAAGCACCGGCUAACUACGUG